AUCCUACUUCCUUCGUUUCGAAUUAUUUGUCGCACGUAUGGAUGUAUCUAGAUGUAUUUUAAUUCUAGAUACAUCUAUUUUUAUGACGAGUAAUUUAGAACGGAGGGAGUAUAUA
rfam:Triticum urartu cultivar G1812 contig265726, whole genome shotgun sequence.